GACAACAGCCUUUCUACUCCACUCUGCAAUUACAUUUUGCAACAUGAUUUAGCAUAAAAUUCAAUCAUCACAUACAAUUGAAAACUUUAAUUAAUAUUAUAAUUUUCUUUUGCACCCAUCCAAGCCCACAGACACAGUCACCUAUCUGCAUUAUGAACAGAAAUAGUUGGGCUUCGGCUGAGUUAAUUUUGGGCCCAAAUCACCUAUACUACUACCAACUGUUAUUAGCCUAUCAUGCAACUCCACUAGCAGACUGCAGUGGCAGCAAGCAUUUUUGCGCCGGACUAUCUGGUUAGGGUGGUCCUACUACUAUACUACUACCAACUUUCUUACUUUGCUCCCUCUCUUUUAAUGACACCUGUCACGUUUCACCAUGUCUCCGUUUUUCACACUAUGACUGUCCUUUGCAUUUGACGGAGCAAUUUCUACCGUCGCGUGGAAGUAUCCCUCUGGAUUAUUUCAUCAGGGAAGGAAAAGAAAAAUAAAAAUAAAGGAACUUUGCAGGGUACAGCACGCCUAUGAUCAGACGGGUACAACACGUUCUCCACACCAGUGGAUCUAAUGAGGUCAAACAUUGACUCGUUCAGUUCCAACGAAUCAGAUCCAUGAACUCCUUCCUAUUCAGGUGAUCCAUGAACUCCUUCCUAUUCAGGUGCUAUCAUGGUAUGAUAGAAAAACACGAACGAGAACCCAAGGCGGGAACACAAACUACUUUGGCGAACGUUAGAAAAAGACAAUAUGUUUUGUCUACGUUACGCAUAUCCCUAACUAUAAGUGCUAUCAACUGUGGUGAUAUGGAAAAUGAAAGUGAAAUAAAGAGGAUGUGCGAUCUGGUAAGAAAGGCAUAGAUCAGGUGUGCAUUGAACACAAAAGCGCAUUUUAGAGAUAAGCCAUUAGUUAACGAAUAACAAAAAGGAUGAUUGAAGUACGCAUACGCACCACAUCUGUGCCAGCUGGUCCUGG
rnacentral:misc_RNA from 1 species